GUAAGGUCAUUCGCAACAUGGCGGCAAGCGAGGCAAGACGUGAAGCGGUUUCUCCCAAUUUUCACAGGUUUUCGUCAUUCUAUAACGUUAUCGAAUCGCAGUCCUUUGAUUGACAGUUGGCGAGUGGCGUUCUUCCUAACCCACCAUCGGCUUGAACGGCGGGUAAAGAUUACGAACAGUUCUCCGUUUUCCAAUGAGCCACGGUCAAACAGGACGCCUAUUUAGAUGAACACAUCUGGUAUAUCGUUGUACAACUGAUAAUGUUAAACCCGAAGAACUCGAACCGCGUGAAGAAGUAGGAGGAGAAAAAUGGAAGAGGAUGCGGGGACGAUGGGAAGCAAAGCGGAACGCAAAAACGAAGGCGAACAGCGCGAGAAGCGAGUACAUACAUAGAGGAAUGCGAUAUUAAGUUGACUUCAAGGAGUCUCUCGCACACGCCGAUUCCUGUAUCCACUGAAAGAUAUCUAGUUUGAAAUUACUCUGAAACGAACGAAAUCCUCGAAAACCUUUUGUAGCACGUAUCAAAAGAGUAGGAGAAAGAAAUCAAAAUAUUACUGCGAAGACUAUGAGGCUGGGGCUGUGUAUAGACGACUGCUUUUAGAUCCAUCACACGAAACUUGAUUUCUAAGGUCCAUACUGGACUCGCAACCUCGUUCUCCACUUCGGUCACUACUGCUUGAUGCUAUAACCGGAGUGACCAACCGUGUGGCUGGCCGAGGUCGGUUGCCGUCCUCUGGUGCGUCCGAUUCGAGAGAGAGACCCUCGACGCCUCCGAGAAAUCUUCUACUCUCUGCACACGUCAGGCGAAGUCCAGGUUCUCGGUGAUGCACAGUAAGGCCAAAAGUGCAGUAAGACGGGUGCAAGUCGGCCCCUGCACUCCUGACAAUGUGCAGGAGUAGAACUCCGUCUCAGACUCUACGAUCGUGAGACGUACCUGGUAUCGCCAGGGUCAGGCGCCCCGACGCGGUGCUACCUACGUCGUACACUGUAAGGUCAGGACCGGGCCCUCGGCAACAGGUAUGCAGGGAGUAGCGUACUGAGCGGAGACGUUGAUUGUCUUCCUCUCGAACCAGGCCCACCAAGAGGAAACGGGACUGACUCUGUAAGUUCACUUACGUGGUCGCGUCGUGUCGCGAUUUCCAUUUUUAGCUUCCACUUAGUUCAAAUAAUUAUUUGGCAGAGCCAGACUUAAACUUUGCAAAUCAAAGGGAGUUUGCUUUCUUUCAUUUCCACGGCUUAGUAUUAAGCUCGUUGACUCUAUGUAGAGUACGCAUCUACGUAUGUAUUACUAUUCCUUAGAUAGAUUCCUUCUAUCUCCGGAUCUCCAAUCGCAGCAACCUCCACGUCGUGAGAUCUGGUAAUCGGUAUUAUCGAAGUAUCGUUCGUCACGAAUAAUAUCGAGCUAAUGGCUGCGAACUGGUAAUAAGAUCUUUAGAUAUAAAAAGUGUAAAGUGUAUAGUGUAAAGUGCAAAGUGGAAAAGUGUAGUGUAAUGUGCAAAAGUGUAAAGUGCAAAGUGGAAAAGUGUAAAAUGUAAAGUGAAAUUAGAUUUAGAUUAGUCAAGCGAACGAUACGCGUCCAUAGGAUGAACCACUAUGUGUAUACCUCAUUCAUUGAAAUAAUAUUUACGUUUUCUAGUGAAAAGGACAUUUUAUUAUUGAUUUAUAAUAUCCAUAAACAUAUUUAGAACAUUUCGUUUUAUCAUUUAAGGAGAUUUUACUGUAGCAACAAAAAAAUGUUGCGUUACAAUUGGCUCUUAGUACGUCACAAACCAACGAAGGGGUUUUCUGAGGAAAAAAAUGUCCUGUCGCGGGAAAUCAUUAAGUAUGGUGCAGCAGGUGGUAGUUUGCGAUCAGUUAGUCGUGAGAUAUCCUGUCACUUGAUUUUCAAUCUUUCCAACUCUUGCGUGUACACGAAGCCUGUAAAUUUUUUUUUCUAUAAAUCCUUACGAACAUUUUAUGCGGUUUCUUGAGUAUACCUACGAAAAUUUCUAUGUGAAUCGGCGCAGCUGUUUACGAGAUUUUAUUUAGCACGUCGUUGAAAGCAUUUUUUUGAGGUUAUUUUUGAGGCUCGUUUUUGAGGCACGACUCGAUUACCGCGACGAUUAACGACGAAAAACUGUUCCGAGAGGAACAGGCCACGGAUCGUUGCGAGAUCUUCGUUAAUUUAAAGUAGCUAUUCGUAAUAUCUAGACUGUCGCAACGUCGAGGAGACAGCUGUGCUUGCUUAAAUACUCUUGUUAACGGCAACGACGUCAAAGCAAAUUUGAGUUACCGUUUCAAGUACCGUUCCGGAUGAAUGGUGAAAAGGCGAAUCGUCGAAGCAAAGGGUUCUGCGUUUUCGAUUUGACGCUCUUUAAACGGCCAUAACUCCACCAAAUUACAGUGGAAAUUUAAAACUAAGUAUAUCAUUCGAAAGAGCGUUAAAUUUCCCAACUCCUUGAUGCAAAACCAAAAUUUAUUACGUAGAUUUAACAACUGAAAAAUUAGGUCAAACUUUAUAUUGUGAAAAUUUGUAAAAAUUUGACUUUUUCUGUAUUCGUCUUUCGAUUUCAAAGACAUAGUUGUUUGGCGGGCACGCCUCGGGAGAAACUUCCUCGAAGUCUCAGCUUUUGAACCGUAUUGUCAAAAAAAAUUGUGCCGUGGCAUUUUAAGGAAAAAAUUACGUUUAAAUGCAAAAAAGCGUUCAAAAUGCCCGGUUCCUAAAUCAAAACUCAUCGGUUCACCUGCGCCGAAAACAUCGAUUUUUUGCUUUGUGAAAUCAAUCGUGUUCCAAUCUCCAUAUCAUUUAUCGGUACACCGAGGUUAAUUUUAAUUAAAUAAUCUCUAAAAAUGAAAAUACUAUGGAUACAUGUUCAAAAACAUAUAUUAUUCACCUCGCACUCAGGCUCUACACACGGCUGGGAGAGACUUGAGGUGUCAAAAAAUCGGUUUCUUUCCUAAUUGGGGAGGCUUGGGAGUAUCACAAAAAAAUACAUCAAACCCGAUGUCAAGUUAAUUUUAAAGUGACAAGUCGAUUUUUGUUGAAAAAUAUCGAUUUUCACCUAACAAUCCACGCUUCUCUGCAUUUAAACGUAAUUUUCUCCCAAAAAUACCACCGUACAUUUUUUUUUGACAAUACGGUUCAAAAGCUGAGACUUCGAGGAAGUUUUUCUCGAAGAGUGACCACCAAACAACUAUGUCUUUGAAAUCGAAAGACGAAUACAGAAAAAGUCAAAUGUUUUUAAAUUUUCAUAAUGUAAAGUUUGACCUAAUUUUUCACUUGUUAAAUCUACGUAAUAAAUUUUGGUUUGGCAUCAGAGAGAUGGGAGAUUUAACGCUCUUUCGAAUGGCGUACUUAAUUUCAAGUUUGGACUGUAAUUUGGUGGAGUUAUGACGUGGAGUUAAAGAGUGUCAAGUCGAAAACGCAGAACAAAUAUUAAAAGUGAAAAUACUCGAGAAUAAGGCGACACAAAGAAUAUCUCUAAGAGUAAUUUUUUGUUGGAAAUUUGUUGUACAAUUGACACCCUGCGUAUGUGCGAACUUAUACGUAGACACCCUGUAUACAUGAACAUAUUUAUACAAACAUACAUUUGGAAACAUGAAACCUACCAUUUAAUCUAAACAAGUUUCUUCAAGAGAAAUCCAUCAAAACAUUUCGUAAGAAAUUUUUUUACUUCAUUUCAAGGGAUAAUAGAGUUCUCUUUGAUCUCAUCACGGAUGCAAAUUGUAGGUAAUCGUUGUCCAAGUGGUCCACUCCAACAGGUAACAAUUUAUUUAUAUAUGUGAACGAGUUCGACGCGCCUAACUUUCGGUCAGCCGGAUCGAAUAGCUCGGUCUGACGCGCAUUCCCCGAAUCGAUGAAGACGGAAGAACGCCGCGACCUAGUUGAACGAAAUCUGCAUCGACGCGAGCGAGAUUUUUCCCUGGGAAAGUUCUCGGUUGAAGUUGCUUCGCCUUGACAAGCUAAACUCCUCUGUUAACUGAACUUCUUAAAAGAGCGUUCCAGAAAUCCCUUUGACGGGCGCCGAGGCGAUUACGUGGCCGCGUAUUCACGGUUGGGUCACGCGGCGGCGUGUCCGCCCGAUGAUAACUGGAUCGUACGAAUCCCGUUUGUUGGAAAAACAAACGGUAUAACGUGCUCGCGUACUUACACCAACAGCCUGGCAGCGAUUUCACGCGGGCGUUAUAUUCGUUAGCCGUAAAUUGGCGCGGCUGUACCGUUACGUAUCACCAUUUUCCAUCGACAGAACCACUACGGAACCCGCCCGUAUUCGACAUAUUUAUUUUUCCCAGCGAUUUUUCAAACUUUACUUCGAUAUUUUAUCUUUCCCUCUCUCCCACCAACACACAGGAAACCCGUUUAUUUUACUUUCAAAUCUGUUCGCGGACCGCGGCUUUCCGACUGAUAAAUACGGCUGAACCCUCUACGCGGCCGGCAUUAAGCGCAGCCGCUGAACGAGGACGAAAUAUAAUAAAGCGAGCGAGCCAGCAGCGCCCCGCGCAAAGUUUCACGGAAAUAUCGUUUCGGAAAGAGCGGACCGAAUACGGCGCUCGAGAGUCUAUUUCAGUUGAAAGCUUUUCCGCACGCUCGAGAUCUUGCGGCUUCCGAUUCGUUGCAGCCAAACGAACGGUUAUACAAACUUGAUUUACAUCUAGCUAGCUCCGCGGACUCGAUGCGCCCAACAUACCGACAAAGACGACGUGACAGGGAGACCCGAUUCCCUCCCUGAUUGGUAUAAUUUCGAUAUUUUGAAACGGGAAUCAAGGAUUCGCAGCCUCCUUCUGUUCUAAUAGAAACGCUGCCGAAAUGAAGGAUUCUACGAAAUGGGGCUUUAGGAUUUUGUUCCUUUGUUCCUUAAUAAAACACGAAGUGUUUGAAAGACUGGGGGUGAGAAUGUGGGAAGACAAAGUCUGGUAUAGUGACUUGCAGACUUUCGAAAGCAAUAGACGGUAUUUGGUAAUAAUCUUGUUUAUUCAUUAUCAAAUCGUUUAUUCAAAACGUGACAUCUUAAAAGUAACUCUUAAAUCAACAUGUACUAUAUAUGUAUCUAAACAAUUCUUUUCUACAUUUUUAAAAUACACUCAAGUAACUUAAGUUCCUAAUAAGCGGUUACAAACUCGUACUCGAGAAUUUGAAAAUAAGGGUUUCUUUUACAAUUCUGUUUUCCUGUAAUUGAAGAAUAAAUCUGAACAUCAAAUCUGCUGUCCAUGCUUUCUGAUACGAAGAGUACAUCUUCCUCCAUUUCCCUUUACAUUGAAACUUCACUCGAGUCGACUAUA